rnacentral:rRNA from 1 species
AGUGAACGCUGGCGGUAGGCUUAACACAUGCAAGUCGAACGGCAGCACAGUAAGAGCUUGCUCUUACGGGUGGCGAGUGGCGGACGGGUGCGGAAUACAUCGGAAUCUACUUUUUCGUGGGGGAUAACGUAGGGAAACUCCCGCUAAUACCGCAUACGACAUACGGGUGAACGCAGGGCAUCUUCGGACCUUGCGCUAUUGAAUGAGCCGAUGUCGGAUUAGCUAGUUGGCGGGGUAAAGGCCCACCAAGGCGACGAUCCGUAGCUGGUCUGAGAGGAGGAUCAGCCACACUGGAACUGAGACACGGUCCAGACUCCUACGGGAGGCAGCAGUGGGGAAUAUUGGACAAUGGGCGCAAGCCUGAUCCAGCCAUACCGCGUGGGUGAAGAAGGCCUUCGGGUUGUAAAGCCCUUUUGUUGGGAAAGAAAAGCAGCAGGUUAAUACCGCGCUGUUCUGACGGUACCCAAAGAAUAAGCACCGGCUAACUUCGUG